GUGUGAACACACAAGAUGUUUGGUUUCUCCGGCUUCAUUUUAAUCUUCUGCACUAUAAAUACAGUUGAACUUCGCAGGAAUUAUUCAGGUCCCGUUCCAAAGGCAGUUCAUCAGCCUGAUAAAGUUCUCUGUGUGAAUGUGGGGGACUCAGCUACUCUACACUGCUGUGUUUUUGGUGAAGAUGUUGGAAUAGUUUUCUGGUAUAAGCAACCAAACAGAAAACAUCCCCAGAUUGUAAGCAGAGGGUCUAAAACUACUGACGUUACAUUUUUCAAUGAAUUCCAAAAUCUUCGUUUUCAAGUACAAAUCUCUUUAAACUGCUCCAGUAUGAACAUUUCUAACAUCAUCCAGUCUGAUGAAGCCAUGUACUACUGUGCCAUCGUAAAACCAUACGGCACGUUUGGACGUGGGACCUAUUUAAAGAUUAAAGGUGAUCAUGUUACUAUUGUAUCAGAAACAUCUAAAGCAGCUCUGUGUGAUAAUUCAGUGGUGUGUGAACCAACACCGCAUGGAAACAACACUAACACCAACACACAACACAACACAGGUGAGAUGUCAGUGUUUUGUACUAAUCUAAAUAUAAUGUGGUGAAAUAACAGAAUCAGAAAUGAUCAGAUCUCUACAUCGGACAGUGAUCGGUUUGGGAUCGGCUUUGGGUUUGUGCGCACUUCUGAUUUUCUGUCUCACUUAUUUCAUACUGAGGAGAAGAAAAGGUGAUAAAAAUUCUCCAGGAACGAAGCAGGAAUCUGAAGUUGACACACUGAAUUACGCAGCUUUGGAAUUCUCUAAACGGAACGCUGUAAAAAGUCGGACACAAACUGACACAACAGGAGAUCAGUGUGUUUACUCUACUGUGAAAAACAGCUCUAAUGUUUAAUGUGAAUUAUCUAACACAUUUCUAAUUAAGUGACAACAUCCCAGAGCUUUUAUUGUGGCAUUUAUAAAGCACU